rnacentral:lncRNA from 1 species
UUUUGUUUAAAUCCCCAAUUCUUCCAAUUGAUCAAAGUACAACUGGUUACUGUGUCAGGUUUCUUUUGUAUGAAUGUUGUAAACAUACAAUUGUCCUUGUAUAAUUUUAGACACUAUCUGUGUUCCUCACUUUUGCUGCUCUGCUCCAGUAUGAAUUACUCCCUCCGUUCCGAAAUGUAAGUCGCUGGAGGAUUCGUUCCGACCAAGUGAAAACGGUGGAAUUUACAUCGUUGCCCCUAGUUUGAAUCGGUAUCCCCAUCGUCUUCUUCCUCCAUCCGCCAGGCCAUAGCCCGCCUGUUCACCAGGACAUCGUCCGCCCGCCCGCCCCUGCUUCUCCUCCGCCUGCCCCUGCUUCUCCUCCAUGCGCCCAGGUCCCAUGCGCUCCCAGGUCCUCGCCUCCAACAGCGAUCCCAGGUCCUUGUCUCCAGCGGCGAUCCUAGAUCCAGGGGUGCCAAGGAGGCACACAGUAGCAGCGAUCCCAGUUCCCAGUUCCAGCAGCAGCAAUCCUAGGUCCCAGGUCCAGCAGCAGCAAUCCUAGGUCCCAGGUCCAGCAGCAGCGAUCCCAGGUCCUUAGGGCCUUAUCCUGCUCCUUCUUGUUGUCCUGGGCGUGCUCCUUCUUCUCUUGGGCAUGUUCCUUCUCCUGCAACAACAGCAACAACAGAGAUUAUAGUCAUACUGAUCAGUAGCAGCAACAACAGCUGCUGGGUUCUUCUGCAGGUGGAGUAUGACAGCAGCAGUAGUAGUUUGACAACAGCAGCAGCAGUAGUUUCACAACAGCAG